AGUUCAUCAUGGUUCUGAGAAAGCAACUUCCCCUUGCUCUGUCUGAAAGAUAGUUUACUCAUGGUUUGUCAUCGGAGGACCUGAAGGAAGAAGAAAGAGAAGAUUGGGAGAGGACAGAAGAGCGAGAGGAUGUGGAGAGAAAGGGUGACAUGCGACCAAGAAGACUGAUAGUCAGCCGGGUGCGAUGGCUCACGCCUGUAAUCCUGGCACUUUGGGAGGCCAAGAUACACCAAAAUGAAGACUGCCACCAACAUCUACAUUUUCAACCUUGCUCUGGCAGAUGCCUUAGCCACCAGUACCCUGCCCUUCCAGAGUGUGAAUUACCUAAUGGGAACAUGGCCAUUUGGAACCAUCCUUUGCAAGAUAGUGAUCUCCAUAGAUUACUAUAACAUGUUCACCAGCAUAUUCACCCUCUGCACCAUGAGUGUUGAUCGAUACAUUGCAGUCUGCCACCCUGUCAAGGCCUUAGAUUUCCGUACUCCCCGAAAUGCCAAAAUUAUCAAUGUCUGCAACUGGAUCCUCUCUUCAGCCAUUGGUCUUCCUGUAAUGUUCAUGGCUACAACAAAAUACAGGCAUGGUUCCAUAGAUUGUACACUAACAUUCUCUCAUCCAACCUGGUACUGGGAAAACCUGCUGAAGAUCUGUGUUUUCAUCUUCGCCUUCAUCAUGCCCGUGCUCAUCAUUACCGUGUGCUAUGGACUGAUGAUCUUGCGCCUCAAGAGUGUCCGCAUGCUCUCUGGCUCCAAAGAAAAGGACAGGAAUCUUCGAAGGAUCACCAGGAUGGUGCUGGUGGUGGUGGCUGUGUUCAUCGUCUGCUGGACUCCCAUUCACAUUUAUGUCAUCAUUAAAGCCUUGGUUACAAUCCCAGAAACUACGUUCCAGACUGUUUCCUGGCACUUCUGCAUUGCUCUAGGUUACACAAACAGCUGCCUCAACCCAGUCCUUUAUGCAUUUCUGGAUGAAAACUUCAAACGAUGCUUCAGAGAGUUCUGUAUCCCAACCUCUUCCAACAUUGAGCAACAAAACUCCACUCGAAUUCGUCAGAACACUAGAGACCACCCCUCCACGGCCAAUACGGUGGAUAGAACUAAUCAUCAGCUAGAAAAUCUGGAAGCAGAAACUGCUCCGU
rnacentral:sRNA from 1 species